UCAAAUGUGAAGAUUAGAAAUAGUAGAAGUGCAAUGACCUUUCAGAGAGCCGUUGGUUGGUGCGAAACGGUAACGUCGUUCAUUUCGAACUCGUCUAUGAACAGCUGCCUGACAUGUAGGGUAAGCCGGAGUUCCACCGUUACAGGGAUAGAUGGUGAUGGCCAUCGAAUUGAGCUCAUUUCUUAGGAAAUGAAUUAGAGUGGUACCGCGGGUUCAACCUCGUCUCUAUA
rnacentral:ncRNA from 1 species